rnacentral:misc_RNA from 1 species
UCCGGGUUAAACCCGGCGGUCCCGCCAGACAUGGUAACUGGCAGCGAGGGUUGCGCUCGUUGCGGGACUUAACCCAACACCUCACGGCACGAGCUGACGACAGCCAUGCACCACCUGUGCAGGCUCCGAAGAGGGCCCGCUUUCACGGGUUUCACCCUGCAUGUCAAACCCAGGUAAGGUUCUUCGCGUCGCAUCGAAUUAAGCCGCAUGCUCCGCCGCUUGUGCGGGGCCCCGUCAAUUCCUUUGAGUUUCAAUCUUGCGAUCGUACUUCCCAGGUGGGAUACUUAAUGCUUUCGCUCAGACACACACAGUGUAUCGCGUAUGUCGAGUAUCCAUCGUUUACAGCGUGGACUAC